UCAAUAUCAGUUCAUAUCCAAAUUGCUAACUAGAGGUUUUUGCUCCAACAUGGUGUCCACUGUCCACUAACAUACUAUUAGCUAAAAAUUAACUAUGCAUUGGGUCGUCUUUUAGCUUCAAAAUGUAAUGAUUCAUAUUCCACAAGAGUCUUACUCAAAGCCUCAAAAUAAAGCACAUCUUUCCAAAAUUAUGCAUGAAUUAUUUCGACAAAAAAAAAAAAAAUUUGUAUCCUGGUAAGAAUAGGAUCGACAAUCGAAAAAAAUUUACCC
rnacentral:lncRNA from 1 species